UACGUAGGGUGCAAGCGUUAAUCGGAAUUACUGGGCGUAAAGCGUGCGCAGGCGGUUGUGCAAGACCGAUGUGAAAUCCCCGGGCUUAACCUGGGAAUGGCAUUGGUGACUGCACGGCUAGAGUGUGUCAGAGGGGGGUAGAAUUCCACGUGUAGCAGUGAAAUGCGUAGAUAUCGCUUGGAACGCCAAUGGUGAAAACAGCUCGCUGGGGGUGUGCUGACGCUGAGACACGAAAGCCAGGGGAGCGAACGGG
rnacentral:rRNA from 1 species